rnacentral:rRNA from 1 species
GACGAACGCUGGCGGCGUGCUUAACACAUGCAAGUCGAGCGGUAAGGCCCUUUCGGGGGUACACGAGCGGCGAACGGGUGAGUAACACGUGGGUGACCUGCCCUCAGCUCUGGGAUAAGCCUGGGAAACCGGGUCUAAUACUGGAUAUGACUCCAUGACGCAUGUUGUGGGGUGGAAAGCCUUGUGCGGCUGAGGAUGGGCCCGCGGCCUAUCAGCUUGUUGGUGGGGUGANGGCCUACCAAGGCGACGACGGGUAGCCGGCCUGAGAGGGCGACCGGCCACACUGGGACUGAGACACGGCCCAGACUCCUACGGGAGGCAGCAGUGGGGAAUCUUGCGCAAUGGGCGAAAGCCUGACGCAGCGACGCCGCGUGAGAGAUGACGGCCUCGGU